AUCACUUUUCAGCCUUUUGGCUAAGAUCAGGUGUAAUAUCUGUUUUUACCAGUUUAAUAUAUGAUAGUCCUUUAUCCGAGGACAAUAUACUAAAUGGAUUUUUGGAGCAAGGAGAGAAUAGGAGCUUGCUCUGUCCACUUUGCCCAUGGACCUGGUAUUGCAGUAUUUCCGGAAGGGUGCACACCCU
rnacentral:snRNA from 1 species